UACGUAGGGUGCGAGCGUUGUCCGGAAUUAUUGGGCGUAAAGGGCUCGUAGGCGGUCUGUCACGUCGGGAGUGAAAACUCGGGGCUUAACCCCGAGCCUGCUUCCGAUACGGGCAGACUAGAGGUAUGCAGGGGAGAAUGGAAUUCCUGGUGUAGCGGUGAAAUGCGCAGAUAUCAGGAGGAACACCGGUGGCGAAGGCGGUUCUCUGGGCAUUACCUGACGCUGAGGAGCGAAAGUGUGGGGAGCGAACGGG
rnacentral:rRNA from 1 species